rnacentral:lncRNA from 1 species
GCCACCCGCGCCGCGCCCAGGUAAGCAGGUCCGUGGGUCGCUGGGUCCAUGCGUGGGUCCGUGGCUGGCCGGGGAUGGACCAGCCCCUCCCCGCAGGGGCAUCGCCUGCCCAAGGACGCAGGACCCAGUGAGGGAAGCGCGCGCUGCAGGCACGGGGCUCUCCACCCUCGCCAUGGUUGGCACCAAGCCACACUGUGCACUCGACACACGCAGCGUCCUGGCUGCCACCUGCAGAUUCCAGCUCGUGUCUAUGCAGGGCCAUGGCCGCCAUCACAGGGCCAUAUGCAAGAAACUCUCUGAGCUCUCCUCGCCCAAAACCGCAGCUAUCCUUUUGUGGUUUGGUAUUAUAGGUAACAUGCCCUUCCUUAAAGAAACAGUAUUUCAGGCCUGUAGUCCCAGCUACUCCGGAGGCCGAGGCAGAAGCUGAGGCAGAAGCAGGAGGAUCAUUUGAGCCCAGAAGUUUGAGCCUGGGCAAUGUAGCAAGACCCCCCCCCCCACCUCACUCCCCAAUCAGUUAAAAGAGAGAGAGAGAGAGAGAGAAUUCCAGCAGGAAGAAGUACACAUUUCCACGAAUGGUUUGGGAAUUCAAGCAUCAUAUGGCUGAGGUUUGAACUACAGCUCAUGCCAAUAACAUGUGCACAUGCGCCAGCAUUCCAGCGUCCAACAGAGCAUGCGUGCACCAUUCCAGCAUCCGGCAACAAUGCACCAGCAUUCCAGCGUCCAACAGAGCAUCCGUGUACCAUUCCGGCAUUUGGCAACAAUGCACCAGCAUUCCAGAGUCCAACAGGGCAUGCGUGCACCAUUCCAGCAUCCGGCAACAAUGCACCAGCAUUCCAGCGUCCAACAGAGCGUGCGUGCACCAUUCCAGCAUCCGGCAACAAUGCACCAGCAUUCCAGCGUCCAAAAGAGCAUCCGGCAACAUCCCGGUGUCCAGUGGCACAUGUGCACCUGGACGUUCCAGUGUGGUGAGCUUUCAGGCACGGAGCAAGGCCAAAGGGAUAAAAAGAUGAAGGUGACGCAGUACUCCCCCUUAUAGUGCCUACAGGCCUUAUAGGCCAGACAGAUCUGGAAAUAAAUAAUUCAUAAUAAAAAAUAAUUACAGAAUAAGAGGCAUAAUAACCAGAUAGAAAGUAUUGAAUAAAUCUGUAAGAAAUGAAAAAAAAAAAAAAAAAA